CUUCAAGCUCGCGUGCUUGUUGCCGGGGUUCAGAUCCUAAUGGCCUGGAAAACGGAAGACUUUGCUUCCCCCCUGCCUCUAAGCUGGAGGCCUCUUGGAGGCACAGCCUUGUGUGACCAAACCCCAGAAGGGACAGCUCAUAACUCUGGCCCAUUCUGUAUGGUGGAAGCAGGUCAGUGGGUCUGAGCCACACUCAAGAGGAGAGGAUCUCACAGUGAUGUGAAUACGGGAAGCAGGAAGCCUCAGGGCCAUCUCGCAGGUACUGUGUUCGGUCCUGCAGUUCCUGUCUUUAAGGAGAGAGGCGCGUCUGGGAAGAAGCUAGCAGGCGCUCCGUGGAGGAUUCCUGGAGGAAUCGAGUCUGUUCGGUACUCCCACAGGCAGUGCAGCGUGGUGUUUUAUUGGUGUGGAAGGCAGAGCCAGGGCGGCAGCCGUGGUCGAGAAGAGGACAAAACACCCUUUAAUUCUGUCAUUUCUGCUGCUCACUGAGGAAUUACAAACAGAUGUUCCAGCUGGGGAAGAGAGAGCAGGUUGGGCAAGGAGAGCUGAAAGCACAUGGACCCGAUUUCCAGCAGGCCUUGGCCUAAGCCUUGAGUGGGAGGUAGCCUGGGAUGGUUGCUGAGGAGCCGUUAAGAACUCAGACUGUGGAGUUAGGAAGUUCUCGUUGCUGCAGUUGCUCAUCUGGUUGGAUCCAGUGGGCUUGGGAUGAGGACAAGCAACUGCUCUCCAUCCACCUGGAUCUUGGCGGGUUAACUGGAACCUCCUCUGGGGAACACUAAAGAACACGCAGGCGGAUUCUUUACCAGCUGAGCCACAAGGGAAGCCCAAGAAUACUGGAGCGGGUAGCCUUUCCCUUCUCCAGGGGAUCUUCCCAACCCAGGGAUCGAACCCAGGUCUCCUGCAUUGCAGGUGGAUUCUUUACCAGCUGAGCCACACGGGAAACCCAAGAAUACUGGAGUGGGUAGCCUAUCCCUUCUCCAGGAGAACUUCCCGACCCAAAGAUUGAACCGGGGUCUCCUGCAUUGCAGGCGGAUUCUUUACCAGCUGAGCUCUGAGGGAAGCCGCAUGACAGAA